CCUACGGGAGGCAGCAGUGGGGGAUAUUGCACAAUGGGGGAAACCCUGAUGCAGCGACGCCGCGUGUGGGAAGACGGUCCUCUGGAUUGUAAACCACUGUCCCCAGGGACGAAGAUGACGGUAGCUGGGGAGGAAGCUCCGGCUAACAACGUGCCAGCAGCCGCGGUAAUACGGAGGGAGCGAGCGUUGCCCGGAAUUACUGGGUGUAAAGGGAGCGUAGGGGGGACUGCAAGUUGGGUGUCAAAUCUACAGGCUCAACCGGUAGCCGCACUCAAAACUGCAGUUCUUGAGUGAAGUAGAGGCAUGCGGAAUGCGUGGUGUAGCGGUGAAAUGCGUAGAUAUUGGGAGGAACACCAGUGGCGAAGGCGGCCUGCUGGGCUUUUACUGACGCUGAGGCUCGAAAGUGUGGGGAGCGAACAGGAUUAGAUACCCGAGUAGUC
rnacentral:rRNA from 1 species